GACGAACGCUGGCGGCGUGCUUAACACAUGCAAGUCGAACGGGAUUUAGUAAACGGAAGCCUCGUAGGAAGAGUACUAAUGAGACUGGCGAACGGGUGAGUAACGCGUGAGCAACCUGCGUGGGACAGUGGGAUAGCCUCAGGAAACCGGGAUUAAUACCGCAUAAAAUCGUAGAAACACAUUUUUCAACGUGCAAAGAUUUAUUGGCCGUGGUUGGGCUGGCGUCUUAUUGGCCAGUUGGCGAGAUAAGAGCCCACGAAGGCGAGGAUCAGUAACCGGUCUGUGAGGCUGAACCGCCACAUUGGAACUGGGCCGCGGUCCAAACUCUUACGGGAGGCAGCAGUGGGGGAUCUUGCACAAUGGGGGAAAUCCUGAUGCCGCGACGGCGGGUGAACGAAGAAGGUAUUCGUAAAGUAAAGCUCUGUCAUAUGCGACGAUACUGACGGUACCAUAGAAGAAAGCUCCGGCUAACUACGUG
rnacentral:rRNA from 1 species